UACGGAGGGUGCGAGCGUUGUCCGGAAUCACUGGGCGUAAAGGGCGCGUAGGUGGCCCGUCAAGCGCGCGGUGAAAGCCCGGGGCUCAACCCCGGGUCGGCCGUGCGAACUGCGAGGCUCGAGCACUGUAGAGGCGGGUGGAAUUCCGGGUGUAGCGGUGGAAUGCGCAGAUAUCAGGAGGAACACCGAUGGCGAAGGCAGGUCUCUGGGCCACUACUGACGCUGAGAAGCGAAAGCAUGGGGAGCGAACAGG
rnacentral:rRNA from 1 species